rnacentral:rRNA from 1 species
UACGGGGGGGGCAAGCGUUGUUCGGAAUUACUGGGCGUAAAGGGCUCGUAGGCGGCCAACUAAGUCGGAUGUGAAAUCCCCAAGCUUAACUUGGGAACUGCAUCCGAUACUGGAUGGCUUGAAUCCGGGAGAGGGAUGCAGAAUUCCAGGUGUAGCGGUGAAAUGCGUAGAUAUCUGGAGGAAUACCGGUGGCGAAGGCGGCAUCCUGGACCGGCAUGGACGCUGAGGAGCGAAAGCUAGGGGAGCAAACGGG